rnacentral:lncRNA from 1 species
UGGGAUUUCAUUCUUAUUGGCUCAAUAAUAUUAGAUUUUUGUAUCUUUCCCAUAUUUUCUUUAUCCAUUCAACCCCUGAAGGGCACUGUAGUUGAUCACAUUUUUAGCUUUUUUUUUGGUAUGUUUUCAUCUCCUUUGGCUAUAUACCCAGUAGUAGAAUUGCUGGAUCAUAUUGUAGUUCUAUUUUUAUUUAUUUAUUUAUUUUUUGGUACUGAGAAUUUAACCCAGGGCUGCUUUACCACUGAUCUACAUCUCCAGUCCUUUUUUUAAAAAAAUUUAAUUUCCAACUUGUUACCUCCUGCUUUAGCCUCUGGAGUCUCUGGAAUUCCAGGCCUACUCCAGCAUGCUUGGCCUAUUUUUUUUUAAUUAAAAAUAAUUUUUUAAUAGUUAUAGGUGGACAGAAUGCCUUUAUUUUAUUUGUUUAUUUUUAUGUGGUGCUAAGGAUUGAACCCAGUGCCUCACACAUGCUAGGCAAGUACUCUUGCCAGCACAUUUAAAUAGACCCCUUUCUUCACUAUAUGUUUUUAGCAUUUCUGUCAAAAAUUGGUUGGUUCUAUGAAUGUGUAGUAAUUUCUAUGUGUUCUUUUCUGUUCCAUUGGUCGCUGUGUCUGUUUUGUGUCAAUACCAUGCUGUUUUGGUUACUAUAGCUUUGUUGUAUGUUUUGAAGUCAGGUAUUGAGAUGCCUCUGGCACUGUAUAUUUUGCUCAGAAUUGCUUUGGUUAUUGUUUGUCUUUUGUGGUCCCAAAUGAUUUUAGGAUUGUUUUUUUCUAUUUUUGUGAAGAAAGUCAUUGGUAGUUUGAUUGGAAUUGAAUUGAAUUGAAUCUAUAGAUUGUUUUGGGUAGUAUGCUAAUUUUAAUAAUAAUUCUCCAAUUAGUGAACAUCGAAUAUCUUUCCAUAUUUUGGUGUCCUUUAUAAUUUCUUUCAUUAGUGCUUUUUGAUAUUCAUUGUAGAGCUUUUAGUCUGUUUAGAUUUUCCAUUUCAUCUUCAAUUUUGGUAGGCUUUAUAUCUUCCGGAAUAUAUGUCUUCUGAGCUUUAUUGUUUUUGAGCUUAUAAUUGUUUAUACUGGUUUCUUUUGAUAUUUUGUAUUUCUGUGGUAUCAGCUGUAAUGUUUUAAAUUUAAGCUUUUGUUUAUUUAGGUCCUUUUUUCUUGGUUAGUCUAGAUAAAUAUUUGUCAGUUUAUUCUUUUAAAAAACAACUUUGUUUUAUUGAUUAUUUUUAUCUUUUUAGUUUCAAUUUCAUUUGUUUUCUUCUAAUUUUCGGUUUGUUUUGUUCUUCUCUAAGAUAUUGAAGUGCAUUGUUAGGUUAUUUGUGAUCUAUUAUAUCGAUGUAAGGAUUUAUUACUGUAAACUUCUAAGUACUGCUUUUCUGUAUCCCAUAGAUUUUGAUAUGUUGUUAUUUUCUUUGUUUCUAGAAAUAUUUUGAUUUCCCUUUUAUUUUCUUCAACUACUCAUUGGUUAUUUAGGAACAUAUUAUUUAACUCCCAUGUGUUUGUAUUCCUUUCCAUUUUUCUCUUUGGUAACUUGUAGUUUCAUUUUGUUAUGAUCUGAGAUGUUACAUUAUAUUGUAUCAAUUAUUAAAAAUUUAUUGAGAAUUGACUAAACAUUUCCUGUAUUGAUGAGAAGAAUGUGUAUCUGUUGCUGUUGGAUGAAAUGUUCUAUAAAUGUGUAUGAAGACCAUUUGCUCUGUAUAAUAUGAUUCAACUCAGAUAUUUUCUUGUUGAUUUCUUUGCCUAGGUGAUCUGUCCAUUGAGGUAGCGAGGUGUUGUUCCCAGCCAUUAUUGUAACUGAGUCUGUCUCUUUUUAGAUACAAUAAUAUUUAUUUGACAUAAUUGAUGGUUCCAUAUGGGGUGCAUAUAUAUUAGCAAUCAUUAUAUCUUCCUGGUACAUUGAUCCUUUUAUCAAUAUAUAAUGAUCUUCUUUGUUUCUUUUUAGUUUUUGAUUGAAAGUUUGCUGUAUCUGAUAUGAAUUUAGCUACACCUGCUCACUUUGUUUCCAUCUGCACUUAUAUCUUUUUCCAACCCUUCACUUUUAAUUUAUGUGUUAUCAAUUACCAGUGAAGUGAGUUUCCUGUAACAGCAUAUAAUUGGGUCUUUUUUUUUUUUUUUUAAGCUCAUUAAGCCAGUAUAAGUCUUUUCACUGGUGAAUUUAACCCUUUUAUAUUCAAGGUUAUUAUUGGUAAGUAUGAACUUCUUCCUCUAAUCUUGUUAAUUGUGUACUCUGCUUGUUUUGUGUAUUUUUUGUUCCUUUUCACUUCUCAUCAUUUUUUAUUUUUUUAAAUAUUUAUUUAUUUAUUUAUUUUUUUGGUUUUCGGCGGACACAACAUCUUUGUAUGUGGUGCUGAGGAUCGAACCUGGGCCGCACGCUUGCCAGGCGAGUGCACUACCGCUUGAGCCACAUCAUUUUUUAAAAAAUAUUUUUUAGUUGUAGAUGGUCACAGUAUCCUUAUUUGUUUAUAUGGUGCUGAGGAUCAAACCCAGGGUCUUAGACGUGCUAGGCAAGCACUCUACUAUUGAGCCACAACUUCAGCCCUCAUCAUUUUUUUUUUGAUUUAGUAAAUUUCUGUUAUGUAGUUUCUCCUCUUUUGUGUUUCUGUCCUUCUAGUGAGUUUUGUAUAUUCAUGAGUGUUCAUGAUGAUAGUUAUCAUCUGUUUUAGUAAGCUUUUUCGCUGCUGUGUCUAAAACACCCAACUAGGACAUUUGUAGAGUAAGAUUUUAUUUGGUGGCUCAGAGUUUCAGAGGUCUCAGUCCAUAGACAGACAGCUCCAUUCCUCAGGACUCAAGGUGAGGCAGGAAAUCAGUGGAAAUGUGGUAGAGGGAAGCAGCUCACAUGAUGAUCAGAAAUGUAGAGAGAAAGAUCUCCAUGAAAAAUACACAUAUAUACCCCAAAGUCAUGCCCCUCCCCAUGCCCAUAACUCCUCAAGCAACACCUUUCCUGCCUUCGAUUACUGAUUAGUUACUAAUCUCAUCAGGUAAUUAAUUAACUGGUUGGGUGAAAGCUCCCAUAACUCAAUCAUUUAUUCUCUAAAUCUUCUUGCAUUGUCUCACACAUGAGCUUUUGGGGAACACCUCACAUGUAAACCAUAACAUUCCACCUCUGGUCCCCAAAAGCCUGUGAUCAUCUUACAAUGCAAAAUACAUUUAGUCUAUCUCCAAGAGUCCCCACUGUCUCAACAAUUCAAGGACUGCCCAAAAGUUCAAGUUCAAAGCCUCCUCUAAGACUCAGAGCAAACUUUCAUCAUGAGUUCCUGUAAAAAACAAAAGCUAUUUACAAGUCUCCAAUAUAUAAAAGUAUGGAAUAAACAUUUCCAUGCACAAAUAUGCAUUUGUAGAGGAGGAAAAGUUUAUUUGGGGGUUCACAAUUUCAGAGGUCUCAGUCCAUAGACAGCAGGCUCCAUUCUUCAGGGCUUAAGGCGAGGCAGGAUAUCAUGGUGGAAGAAACUUCUCAGAAAAAAGCGAUGGGACCAAAGGAAGACCGAAAUUCAGCUGGGCAAACAAGUCCUGUAGCUCCACAUUUGGCAUCUGUGGCACAUGGCAUGGUGAUAUUCUGUCCAAAUGAUUUGUGUAGCUCUGCCCCUGUGGCCUUGUUGGUUGUAGCCCAAGUGGCCUUUCUGUUUUCUCUGUUGAUUCCUGCAGCUUUCCUAGAUGAUGUCCCAUGUUACUGGCAUUUCUUAAUCUUGGAGUCUUCACUGCAGCUUUGGCUUCCUCCUCACAUCUCCAUGCUUUGUUCUCUCAGGGGCUGCCCACAGGGACUCCCAGGCCUUCCUUUGAAAUCUUCAUGGAAGCCUCCAUGACCCCCAAACUCCAGCUUCCUGUAUUUCUGUAGAACCAGAACCAUGUGGUUGAUGCCAGGGUCUGCAGCCAUCUUGAGCAGUAGCCAAGCCUCCAGGGACCCUGGGUGCAGAAGCUUCUGAGUGCUUGGGUAACUGAGCAUGUUGAAAAAAAAUUCCUAGGUCCCUUUGUUCAAGAAGGGUACUCAACUGGUCUUGUCUGCAGCAUAUUUUACUUUUACUCCCUUGAGCCUGAGAUGGAUGUGGUCUUGCCAGCUCCUGAGGUGCCCUCAAGCCAUCUUUCUCAUUGUCUCUGAUCAAAGUCUUUAGCAUUUCUUUAGUAGCAGAAAUGUCUUUGACAACUGCAACUUCCUUAGCUCCAGUUUUACUCCUGCCUUUCAAGUCCAAGUUUUCAAAUAUUUCUGCUCUGCUUUCUGCUCCUGAAUGUCACAAUAAAUUUGGCUAAAAGCUGCCAGCAGUAUCCAUGCUACCGCUUGAAUGCUAUGCUGUCUAGAAAUUUCUUCAAAUUAAGAAGUCCAUCACUUUUAAAAUCACCCUCACAGAAAGUCUCAGAACAUGGGCAAAAUGUAGAUAACUUCUCAGCCAGACAUAACAUGAAUGGCCUUUAGUCCUAUUACCACUAAUGUCCUCCUUUUCCUCUCAACCCUCUUGAGCCCUGUCUUCACUGUCCAUGGUCCUAUUGGCAUUCUGGUUUUCUGAGCUCCUAAUAGAAUUCACCAUUUAUGUGUCCUUACAACAGUAUAAAGCAUUUCCAGCUUGCACUGCUAAACAUCUCAAAAUUUUUCCUGCCAAUUCUGAAAAUCUCCAAAUUCUUAUAAAUUACAUGGUCAGGUAAGUCACAGAAAUGGUCCCACUCCUGGUGCCAAUUUCUGUUUUAGUCAGCUUUUUCACUUCAGUGACUAAAAGACCCAACCAGCACAUUUGUAGAGGAGGAAAAGUUUAUUUAGGGAUUCACAAUUUCAGAGGUCUCAAUCCAUAGACAGCAGGCUCCAUUCUUCAGGGCUUAAGGUAAGGCAGGAUAUCAUGGUGGAAGACAGUGGCAUUCUUCCUUCUUCUUCUUUCAUUCUUCUUCUUUAUUCUUCAUUCUUUAUUCUUAUUCUUCAUUCUUCUUCUUCAUUCUCCUCCUCCUCCCCCCUUCCUCCUCCCUCCUCCCUUCCUCCUCCCUUCCUUCUUCCUUCCUUCCUCCUCCUCCCCCUUCCUCCUUUCCCUUCCUCCUCCCUUCCUUCUCCUUUCCUUCUUCCUUCCUUUCUUCUUCCUUCCUUCCUUCUUCCUUCUUCCUUCUUCUUUUUAAAUUUUGUAUUUCUGGAUGGACCACAUGCCUUUAUUUUAUUUUUAUGUGGUGCUGAAGAUCAAACCCAGUACCUCACACAUGUGAGGCAAGUGCUCUGCUACUGAGCUACAGCCUCAGCCCUGGAUUUAGUAUUCUUGGUUGGCAUUUUUUUCCUUUCAGUAUUUUGAUUAUAUCCUCCUAUUCUGGACUGUAAGGUUUCUGCUGAUAAAUCUGCUGUAAUUCUAAUAGGCAUUCCCUAAGUGUAACUUGUCACUAUUCUCUUUUAUUUUGACAUUUUGAGCAUCUAUAUCUUUGUGAAGGUCUGUUUUGGUUGAAUCAAGUUACUGUCCUUUGAGCUUGAUGGAUAUCCAUAACUUUUUUGAAGUUGUGGGAAGUUUUUGGCUGUUAUUUUGUGAAAUAGGCUUUCUGUGACUUUUUCCUUUUCUUUACCCUCUGGAAUUCUUUUUUCUUUUUCCCUCUCAUGUUUUAUUAUCCUAGAGUAGAUGUCAGUAUAAUCUUAAGCAGAAUCAAAUUUUAUUUUCAUUGACAUAAUAAUAAACUGUUUCCAGUGAUUUCAACAUGUUUUUCUGGCUUCAACCUAUUUCUCAUGGGGAAUUUUUUUUUUUUUUUUUUUGCAAUGAAUUCCUUUCAUGCUUUAUCGUUACUUCUAUUUUUUAAAAUUUAUUUAUUGUUUUUAGGUAUACAUGACAGUAGAGUAUAUUUUGACAUAUUAUACAUACAUAGUGUGCAACCCAUUACAAUUGUGAUCCCAAUCUUGUAUAGUUACACUGGUUGUGUAUUCAUAUAUGACCAUAGGAAAGUUAUGUUUGAUUCGUUCUACUGUCUUUCUUAUUCCUGUUCUGCGUUCCCUUCAUUCUCCUUUGUCUAAUCCUAUGAACUUCUGUUCUUCCCCUCCUGACCCUCCCUUGUUAUGGGUUAGCAUUCACAUAUCAGAGAGAACAUUUGACAGAACUGAAUUAUUUCACUUAGCAGGAUAUUCUCCAGUUCCAUCCAUUUACCAACAAAUGCAUAAUUCCAUUGUUCUUUGUGGCUGAUUUAUUUAUUAAUUUGAAUUAGUUUCUCCUUUAACUAUUCUUCUAAUGUAGUUCCUCCCUUUGGUAGUCUUGAGUUUUAUUUUUCAUUCUUUUUUAUCAAAUAUUUUGUUGGGUAGGUUUUGCAGUACUUGCUUUUCUAGUUAUGGAUUCUUUUAACUUUUUUUUUUAAGUAUUUUUUUUAGUUGUCAGUGGACUUUAUUUAUUUAUAUGUGGUUCUGAGAAUUGAACCCAGUGCCUCACACAUGCUAGGCAAGUGCUCUACCACUGAGCCACAAUCCCAGCCCAACUUUUAUUUAUUUUUGAAGAUUUUGAUUUCAUCCUCAAAUCUGAAGUUUUAUUUUGCUGGGUAUAGUAUUCUUGGCUGGCAUCCAUUUUCUUUCAGAGCUUGGUAUAUAUUAUUCCAAGACCUCCUAGCUUUGAGUGUCUGGGUUGAGAAAUUGGCUGAGAUCCUGAUUGAUUUCCCUCUAAAUAUUACCUUGUUGCUGUUCUCUGAAAGUCUAUAAAAUUUUAUUAAAAUUUAUUAAAAUUUAUGUUAGGCAUCUUCAUAAUAAUGUGCCUUGGGUGUGAGUCUGUUCUAAUUUUAUAUAUUUGGAGUCCUGUAAGCCUCCUGAAUUUAGUUUUCCAUUUCAUUCUUAAGGUAUGGGAAAUUUUCUGAUAUUAUUACAGUGAAAAGAUUGUGCAUUCUUUUGGUUUGUAUCUCUGAACCUUCAUCUAUCCAGAUACAUCUUGGUUUUUUCAUGUUAUCCCAUAAUUAUUGAAAGUUUUGUUCACGGUCUCUUAACAUCUUUUCCUCAUGGUCAACUUUAUUUUCUAUAUUAUAUAUUUUGCCUUCAUUGCCUGAAACUCUCUUCCAUGUGGUCUAGUCUAUUGGCAAUGCUUUCCAUUGAAUUUUUAAUUUGGGUUAUUGAGUCCUUCAGUUCGAGGAUUUCUGACUGAUUCUUGUUCAGGAUCUCUAUCUCCAUGUUGAAAUGAUCUUUUACUUCUUGUAUUUUCUUUCUGAUUUCAUUUCUUAUGACAACCUUCACCUCUAGAUUAAUUUAACCAUGAAUUUUUCUGAAUUCUGUCUCUGAAAUUUCCUCCACUAUUGUGUCAAUGGAUUCUAAUGUUGAGGUAUUCUGUGUUAUUUGGAAUGGUUUGUUCUUUCUUUCUUUUUCUUUUUUUCAGAUUGUUUGUGUGUCUACCAAUCUAUCUGAAUGGAUCUGAUGCUGUAGAGUUUCUACCUUAUGAGUUUAUAGUGUCACUCUUUUACUUGUACUUUACAGAUUGGUCCAGGACUGGGGGUGGGGAGCCCAAUGAUAGCAACAAUGGAUGCAGACAGUAUAUAGCAGUAGACUAGGUCCUUAGUUCCUGUUUUGAUGUUUAGUGUUAAUUGGUACUAUAUUUAAGAAUAUUGGAAUCAGCAGUUUCCAUUGUAAAAAAAAAAAAUAAACAAUCACGUAUUAUGAGGCGAGUCUCUUAGAGAUAGCAUAUUGUUGGGUCUUUUUUAAUCCUGUCUGCUACAAAACAAAACAAUCAAAAAAAAGAAAAAGGAAAAAAGGCUAGAGAUGAAAGAGUAACAAAUAUGAAUAUGUAUAGGAAUCCUUAAAUCAGUCAGUACACAUUCAAAUAAAAAAAAGUUCCAAUAUGGAAACUCCAAAUCAAACAUGAAAACAGAACUACUACCACAAUAAACAAACAAAUAACAACAAUAAAAAUCUUGGUAAAGUGUUAAGAAUUUAAGGAGCCCUAUUCACUAUGGUAGAGAAAAUAGNCUCUUCUAGACUCUCUAACCUGU